rnacentral:misc_RNA from 1 species
UACGGAGGGUGCAAGCGUUAAUAGGAAUUACUGGGCGUGAAGCGCACGCAGGCGGUCUGUCAAGACGGAUGUGAAGUCCCCGGGCUCAACCUGGGUACUGCAUCCGAAACUGGCAGGCUAGAGUCUUGUAGAGGGGGGUAGGAUUCCAGGUGUAGCGGUGAAAUGCGUAGAGCUCUGGAGGAAUACCGGUGGCGAAGGCGGCCCCCUGGACAAAGACUGACGCGCAGGUGCGAAAGCGUGGGGAGCAAACAGG